UACGUAGGGGGCAAGCGUUGUCCGGAUUUAUUGGGCGUAAAGAGCGUGUAGGCGGCCAGACAGGUCCGUUGUGAAACUAGAGGCUUAACCUCUAGACGUCGAUGGAAACCGUCUGGCUAGAGUCCGGAAGAGGAGAAUGGAAUUCCUGGUGUAGCGGUGAAUGACGCAGAUAUCAGGAAGAACACCCGUGGCUAAGGCGGUUCUCUAGUACGGUACUGACGCUGAGACGCGAAAGCGUGGGGAGCGAACAGG
rnacentral:rRNA from 1 species